rnacentral:rRNA from 1 species
AACGAACGCUGGCGGCAUGCCUAACACAUGCAAGUCGAACGAGACCUUCGGGUCUAGUGGCGCACGGGUGCGUAACGCGUGGGAACCUGCCCUUAGGUUCGGAAUAACUCCCCGAAAGGGGUGCUAAUACCGGAUAAUGUCUUCGGACCAAAGAUUUAUCGCCUUUGGAUGGGCCUGCGUUGGAUUAGCUAGUUGGUAGGGUAAAAGCCUACCAAGGCGACGAUCCAUAGCUGGUCUGAGAGGAUGAUCAGCCACACUGGGACUGAGACACGGCCCAGACUCCUACGGGAGGGAGCAGGUGGGAAUAUUGGACAAUGGGCGAAAGCCUGAUCCAGCAAUGCCGCGUGAGUGAUGAAGGCCUUAGGGUUGUAAAGCUCUUUUACCCGGGAUGAUAAUGACAGUACCGGGAGAAUAAGCUCCGGCUAACUCCGUG